UACGGGGGGGCAAGCGUUGUUCGGAAUUACUGGGCGUAAAGGGCGCGUAGGCGGUUCGCUAAGUUGGAUGUGAAAACUCUGGGCUCAACCCAGAGCCUGCAUCCAAAACUGGCGGGCUAGAGUUCUGGAGGGGGUAGCGGAAUUCCUGGUGUAGCGGUGAAAUGCGCAGAUAUCAGGAGGAACACCGGUGGCGAAGGCGGGUCUCUGGGCCGAUACUGACGCUGAGGAGCGAAAGCGUGGGGAGCGAACAGG
rnacentral:rRNA from 1 species